rnacentral:rRNA from 1 species
UACGGGGGGGGUAAGCGUUGUUCGGAAUUACUGGGCGUAAAGGGCUCGUAGGCGGCCAACUAAGUCAUACGUGAAAUCCCUCAGCUUAACUGGGGAACUGCGUGUGAUACUGGAUGGCUUGGAUUUGGGAGAGGGAUGCGGAAUUCCAGGUGUAGCGGUGAAAUGCGUAGAUAUCUGGAGGAACACCGGUGGCGAAGGCGGCAUCCUGGACCAAUAUUGACGCUCAGGUGCGAAAGCGUGGGGAGCAAACAGG